UACAGAGGGUGCGAGCGUUAAUCGGAAUUACUGGGCGUAAAGCGCGUGUAGGCGGCCCGGUAAGUCCGCUGUGAAAGUCCAGGGCUCAACCCUGGGAUGCCGGUGGAUACUGUCGGGCUCGAGUCCGGAAGAGGCGAGUGGAAUUCCUGGUGUAGCGGUGAAAUGCGCAGAUAUCAGGAGGAACACCAAUGGCGAAGGCAGCUCGCUGGGACGUGACUGACGCUGAGACGCGAAAGCGUGGGGAGCAAACAGG
rnacentral:rRNA from 1 species